rnacentral:rRNA from 1 species
UCGAGAAUUUUUCUCAAUGGGGGAAACCCUGAAGGAGCGACGCCGCGUGAAGGAUGAAGGUCUUCGGAUUGUAAACUUCUGUCAUUAGAGAACAAGUGUCGCCGAGUAACUACCGGUGGCUUGAUAGUAUCUGAAGAGGAAGAGACGGCUAACUCUGUGCCAGCAGCCGCGGUAAUACAGAGGUCUCAAGCGUUGUUCGGAUUCAUUGGGCGUAAAGGGUGCGUAGGUGGCGAGGUAAGUUGGAUGUGAAAUCCCGGGGCUCAACCCCGGAACUGCAUUCAAUACUGCCUUGCUAGAGUACUGGAGAGGAGAUUGGAAUUUACGGUGUAGCAGUGAAAUGCGUAGAUAUCGUAAGGAAGACCAGUGGCGAAGGCGGAUCUCUGGACAGUUACUGACACUGAGGCACGAAGGCCAGGGGAGCAAACGGGAUUAGAUACCCCCGUAGUCC